GUGCCAAAUUGGGCAGGUACGAAGAUAGAAAGGUAGAGUAACAUGAGUCCUUGCAUUAUUCUUGAUGAUACCUGAAUCUAAUGGAGGAUACAGUUAUGUAAGUGAAUAAUUGCAAUGCAGUUUGAUGUGGGUUAUACUACAAAUAUAUACAAAGUACUAUAGGAAAUUAUGACAAAUGAACUAGGGUUUUAUUUUGAUAAGUUUUUUGGAAUGACAUUUAGGUAGGGAAAUGUGGAAGAAAAUAUGUUAAGGGCAUGAAUUGGAAAAAUUAUAGAUGAACUAAUUGUCAAGUUUUAGAAUAGUGAAAAAUUGAGGUCCAGGUGGAAGAUGGCGGCAGCUGUUGCGUCUCGGCUUUCUCAACUGCUGGGUCGGUCCCGCUCACAGCUGGGGCGGCCUAUAUCAAGUGCCACCUAUAGCGGAGAAGGUUUAGCUCGCAUGUAGAAGGUCCUCACCUUCUUUGUCGUGCUCCCUGGGGUGGGAGUCAGCAUGCUGAAUGUGUACCCGAAGUCGCAAAAAGAGCACAAGAGACCCGAGUUCGUCGCCUACCCUCAUCUCUGCAUCAGGACCAAGCCGUUUCCCUGGGGAGAUGGUAACCAACCCUAUUCCAUAACUCUCAUGCGAAUCCACUUCCAACUGGCUACGAAGAUGAAUAAAGAGAAUCUGGACCACUACCUGGGCACCAGGGACCACAGCACUGGUUUGGACCAUUACUCUGCACAUGGACCAGAAAAAGUAUAUGGGACCUUAAGCUCACCUUCUUUACCUGUAUCAAAUGAU